CUACACUGUCAAGGAAGAGGCCUCAGAGGGAAAGCCUCCCCCAGCUGCACCACCUCAGGAAGCAGACCCCAGCUACCCCAGCGGGGAAGCCAGUCAGAUCAGAGCCACCUCUGACGCCCUCUAACACAUCCAUCAGCAAGAGAAGACUCAGUUCUUCAAAAGAAGAGGGAUCUCCUAAGCACUCGUGGAGAUGGUCCUCAGGGCCCAGCCAGAGUCACUGCUGCCAUGGUUGCUUCCCAGGGGCCUGGACAAGCAAGAG
rnacentral:lncRNA from 1 species